rnacentral:rRNA from 1 species
AUUGAACGCUGGCGGCAGGCCUAACACAUGCAAGUCGAGCGAGCGGCGGACGGGUGAGUAAUGUCUGGGAAACUGCCUGAUGGAGGGGGAUAACUACUGGCAACGGUAGCUCAUACCGCAUACCAUCAGAUGUGCCCAGAUGGGAUUAGCUAGUAGGUGGGGUAACGGCUAACCUAGGCGACGAUCCCUAGCUGGUCUGCGAGGAUGACCAGCCACACUGUCACUGAGACACGGUCCGGACUCCUACGGGAGGCAGCAGUGGGGAAUGUUGCAACAUGAGCGCAAGCCUGAUGCAGCCAUGCCGCGUGUGUGAAGAAGGCCUUCGGGUUGUAAAGCACUUUCAGCGGGGAGGCGUUACCCGCAGAAGAAGCACCGGCUAACUCCGUGCGAGCAGCCGCGGUAAUAC